GUCUUAUGCCUUGGCCAGUACAUAUAAUAAAUUGGAUACGAUACAGAGAAGAUUAGCAUGGCCCCUGCGAAAGGAUGACAUGGAGGUGGUGAAGCGUUUCCAUAUUUU